rnacentral:RNase_P_RNA from 1 species
CCGGGGGGCUGGGCAGCCGCGUCAUCGCAAGAUGCCGAGGAAAGUCCGGGCUCCACGAAACGAGGGUGGCGGGUAACGCCCGCCGGGUGAGGGGUUCGCUCCGAGCCUAGGGAAAGUGCCACAGAGAGCAGACCGCUAAUCCGGGAAACCGGGACAGCAAGGGUGAAAGGGUGCGGUAAGAGCGCACCGGGGGACUGGCAACAGGACCCGCACGGCAAACCCCACCCGGAGCAAGGCCGAAUAGGGGCGGCGCGUCGCGGAGCAAUCCGCGGCUGGGGUGUUUCGCCCCAAGUCUGCGGACUGCGACCGCCCGGGUUGGCUGCUUGAGCCUUGCGGCAACGCAAGGCCUAGAGGAAUGGCUGCCGGUGCGGUGCGGGUCGCCCAGGGAAUCUUGGACGAUACCCCCCGCAUCACAGAACCCGGCUUACAGGCCCCCCGGCAAC